GGAAAAUCAAUCACUAUGAAAAAGGAGGGGAAAUUGAGAUGGUAACAUAUUCUUUCUUUUUUUUUCCCCCUCCUCUUCCUCAGGAAGCAUCAUCUGUCAGGCUCUCCAGAAAAAGGCCAGAGAAACUAUUUGCAGGGCAGAUCAGAAGAUGAGGACUUCUCAAUCCAUCACAAUAGAUUCUUCUUCCAUCCGUUGAAGGUCCGACCUUGCCGUCAUGCUCCUAAUGGUCCACGUUUGCACUCUGCCAUGAUGCCCAGGGACAUUUGGCUGGAGAUGGACAAAAAUUAUUACAAGGGAAAACAAUACCAGGUAAUUGCCCACAUCAGCGCACAGGUACAAACAGCUCACAUCCAAACAAACAGCUCUGAGCUGCCAAAUACUGAUUUUCGCUGGUAAUUGCUUAAUUGUUAUUCCUCUCAGUUUUGUGCAGGCUCAUGCUUUUCUGAGGCGGUCAGAGCAAGAGCGGUGACUCGGUUCUCAUUGGGAUGAUGCCUCUUGUGUUUACAGUCCUCAGGCUGUCACCGCAUAGAAAUAAGCUGUAAGGGGGAAACGCUUGUUCAGCAUUACACAAUUUUGUGUUUUAGUCAUACUUUAAAAUUAAAUCAAUAUAUUUUCCUGUCAUAUUUAUAUAUUUUAGUAUUUUUAUAAAGGACUGAAACAAAGUGUAGUUUUAGCUAAAGGAAACAUCAUUAGUAAAACUGAAAUAAUGUGAAUGUCCAUUUAAAAUGACAUUAUUGUUUGUAAUGGAGUGUAAAAUUAAACUCAUGGCACGAUUUUAUAUGAUGCAAUGCUGAUUAAACAAUUGUUAACUAUAAAAGAAAACUUUGUGAGCCCUCAAGGUUGUUUUCUUUUUAUUUAUGCUCUACAGUUCAACGUGACAUU
rnacentral:lncRNA from 1 species